UGGCGGACGGGUGAGUAACGCGUGGGUAACCUGCCUCACACUGGGGGACAACAGUUAGAAAUGACUGCUAAUACCGCAUAAGCGCACAGGAUCGCAUGGUCCGGUGUGAAAAACUCCGGUGGUGUGAGAUGGACCCGCGUCUGAUUAGGUAGUUGGUGGGGUAACGGCCUACCAAGCCGACGAUCAGUAGCCGACCUGAGAGGGUGACCGGCCACAUUGGGACUGAGACACGGCCCAA
rnacentral:rRNA from 1 species